CCCCUCUCAGGAUCUCACCUGGAGAGUUUCCAGUAUUCUACCACUCUUGGCUAUGGGAGGAAGAGUCAAGAAGAGGCAUAUCCAUUCCAUUCUUAGCUUGGGCAGUGGCUAGCGAGUGGAAGGCAAACUGCUACAAGU
rnacentral:snoRNA from 1 species